GGCCAUAUUAUAUUGAAACACCGGUUCUCGUACGAUCACCGAAGUUAAGCAACGUCUAGACUGGUCAGUACCUAGAUGAGUGACCGCUUGAGAAUGCCAGGUUCUGUAAG